UUAUCCGGAUUUAUUGGGUUUAAAGGGUGCGUAGGCGGAUUAGUAAGUUAGAGGUGAAAGCUCGAUGCUCAACAUCGAAAUUGCCUCUGAUACUGUUAGUCUAGAGUAUAGUUGCGGAAGGCGGAAUGUGUGGUGUAGCGGUGAAAUGCUUAGAUAUCACACAGAACACCGAUUGCGAAGGCAGCUUUCCAAGCUAUUACUGACGCUGAUGCACGAAAGCGUGGGGAGCAAACAGGAUUAGAUACCCUGGUAGUCCACGCCGUAAACGAUGAUAACUCGUUGCAGGCGAUACACUGUCUGUGACUUAGCGAAAGCGUUAAGUUAUCCACCUGGGGAGUACGUUCGCAAGAAUGAAACUCAAAGGAAUUGACGGGGGCCCGCACAAGCGGAGGAACAUGUGGUUUAAUUC
rnacentral:rRNA from 1 species